rnacentral:rRNA from 1 species
UACGUAGGGUGCAAGCGUUAAUCGGAAUUACUGGGCGUAAAGCGUGCGCAGGCGGCUUUGCAAGACAGAUGUGAAAUCCCCGGGCUUAACCUGGGAACUGCAUUUGUGACUGCAUGGCUCGAGUACGGUAGAGGGGGAUGGAAUUCCGCGUGUAGCAGUGAAAUGCGUAGAUAUGCGGAGGAACACCGAUGGCGAAGGCAGCCCCCUGGGCUAGCACUGACGCUCAGGCACGAAAGCGUGGGGAGCAAACAGG